UACGGGGGGGGCAAGCGUUGUUCGGAAUUACUGGGCGUAAAGGGCUCGUAGGCGGCCAACUAAGUCGGAUGUGAAAUCCCCAGGCUUAACCUGGGAACUGCAUCCGAUACUGGAUGGCUUGAAUCCGGGAGAGGGAUGCAGAAUUCCAGGUGUAGCGGUGAAAUGCGUAGAUAUCGGGAGGAACACCGGUGGCGAAGGCGGCGACCUGGGUAGAUACUGACGCUGAGGCGCGAAAGCGUGGGGAGCAAACAGG
rnacentral:rRNA from 1 species